rnacentral:lncRNA from 1 species
UUUUGGGUUGAUUUCCCGGGAUUUUGUCUCUCCCAGCUACGAGCGCUGCCUGCGGCUGCUCCUGGCCGCGCUGGCCCGGCCGCGCUCGCGCCUCUCGCUCAUGGUGGCCACGCACAACGAGGGCUCGGCCCUGGCUGCUCUCACCGGGCUGACCCAGGUCCCACCCGGCUCCGUUUGCUUCGGGCAACUGCAGGGGAUGGGAGAGCACCUGAGCCUGGCCCUGGGCGUGUUCCGACCAAUCAGCGCCUUCCAUUCCUGAGGGGCGGGGGGCGCGCGGCCGCCUCCAUUUUGUGGCGCGCGGGAGCGGCAGCAGGGCGGGAAACCCGCGGUGGGCGUGGCUUGCCCUGAGGUGGGGGAAAGAGGGGCGUGGCUAUCAUCGCCCCUCCCAAUCAUCGCCCGCCAAGGGCGCGCCUCGCCCAAUCAACGCCUCGCUACCGACCACGCCUCCCUUGCCGAAGCCCCGCCCAUC